AUACGGUCAUAUCACGUUGAAACCUCGGUUCUCGUACGACCACCGAAGUUAAGCAACGUCGAGCCUGUUCAGUACCUAGAUGGGUGUCCGUUUGGAUAUACCAGCCGCUGUAA